AGAGUUUGAUCCUGGCUCAGGACGAACGCUGGCGGCGUGCUUAACACAUGCAAGUCGAACGAUGAAGCUCUUCGGAGUGGAUUAGUGGCGAACGGGUGAGUAACACGUGGGAAAUCUGCCCUGCACUCUGGGACAAGCCUUGGAAACGAGGUCUAAUACCGGAUAUGACCUUCUCUCGCAUGGGGGUUGGUGGAAAGCUCCGGCGGUGCAGGAUGAUCCCGCGGCCUAUCAGCUUGUUGGUGGGGUAACGGCCCACCAAGGCGACGACGGGUAGCCGGCCUGAGAGGGCGACCGGCCACACUGGGACUGAGACACGGCCCAGACUCCUACGGGAGGCAGCAGUGGGGAAUAUUGCACAAUGGGCGAAAGCCUGAUGCAGCGACGCCGCGUGAGGGAUGACGGCCUUCGGGUUGUAAACCUCUUUCAGCAGGGAAGAAGCGCAAGUGACGGUACCUGCAGAAGAAGCACCGGCUAACUACGUGCCAGCAGCCGCGGUAAUACGUAGGGUGCGAGCGUUGUCCGGAUUUAUUGGGCGUAAAGAGCUCGUAGGCGGCUUGUCGCGUCGGAUGUGAAAGCCCGGGGCUUAACUCCGGGUCUGCAUUCGAUACGGGCAGGCUAGGGUGUGGUAGGGGAGAUCGGAAUUCCUGGUGUAGCGGUGAAAUGCGCAGAUAUCAGGAGGAACACCGGUGGCGAAGGCGGAUCUCUGGGCCAUUACUGACGCUGAGGAGCGAAAGCGUGGGGAGCGAACAGGAUUAGAUACCCUGGUAGUCCACGCCGUAAACGUUGGGAACUAGGUGUGGGUCACAUUCCACGUGGUCCGCGCCGCAGCUAACGCAUUAAGUUCCCCGCCUGGGGAGUACGGCCGCAAGGCUAAAACUCAAAGGAAUUGACGG
rnacentral:rRNA from 1 species